GGGUGUGUAGCUCAGCUGGUAGAGCAGCGAUCUCCAAAGUCGCUGGUCGGGGGUUCGAAUCCCUCCGCACUCG
rnacentral:tRNA from 1 species